AACCAAAUAUAUCCAAUAUGUUUCGACAUGAUUAACAUGACAAAUAUUAGUAAGAUAUUUUAUAUUGUUACUCUUUUGUUGUUUGUUUUGAGACAGGGUCUUCCUCUGUCACCCAGGCUGGCAUGCAGAGAUGUGCAUUCCAACUAACUGCAGCCUCAACAUCCUGUGCUCCAGCAAUCCUGCCACCUCAGCCUCCCCAGUAGCUGGGACUACAGCUGCUUGCCACAACACCCGGGAUUAUGUGAAUUUAAAGAUAGAAGCAAUCAGAGCUGAAUAUCGGAAGAUGCCUGCAUUUCUCCAUGAAGAACAGAAACAUCAUUUGGAGAUGCUUCAAAAGGAGGACAAAGACAAUUUUUAGCAACUCAAUAAAAGCAAUGCCAGAAUGGCCCAUGAGAGGGAGAUUUUAAAAGGAAUGUAUGAGGAGCUGAAGGAAAUGUCCCAUAAACCAGAUGUGGAGCUAAUCCAGGUGUUUGGAGACAUAUUACCCAGGUGCGUGUGUACCUGGAUUUUAGCAGGUG